AACGCAUAUUGCGCUCUUUGGUAUUCCGAAGAGCAUGCUUGUUUGAGUAUCAGUAAACACCUCAAAGCCCUUUUUCUUUUUUGAAGAAAGGCUUUGGACUUGAGCAAUCCCAACACUUUUUUUUUUUAGAGUGGCGGGUUGCUUGAAAUGCAGGUGCAGCUGGACAUUCUCCUGAGCUAAAAGCAUAUUCAUUUAGUCCCGUCAAACGGAUUAUUACUUUUGCUGCAGCUAACAUAAAGGGAGUUUGACCAUUUUGGCUGACUGAUGCAGGAAUUUCACAAGAGUCUUCAAAAGCUCUUGUUAAACUCGAUCUCAAAUCAAGUAAGACUACCCGCUGAACUUAA
rnacentral:misc_RNA from 1 species